CUCGUGGGCCAGCCAGCAUGGGUCGUGCUCUGCUCAAGAAGAAGAAGCCCAUGUCCUCCAUGAGACCCUGGUCUUUUGAGCGAACAAAACGGGCAUGCGCCGCUCAAUGCAACACGCCGGCGAGCCCCAGGGUCGCCGGGUGGCGGGUGCCGCCGUGCCGCCGCUGUCCCGAGGGGCGGCUGGCGGGGGUUGUACAUCCGCCGUUUCACCAUUCUCCCCUUCUUCAUUUUAUUUCCGGUUGUUUCGGUUUUUUCCUGUCGAUGUCCCUCUGACGAGUCGAUUCCGUUUCGCAGGCAUUGGUGAUUUUCUACCGUGCGCCUGCUUUCGGCGUUGUUGCUUGCCGCCGUCCGCCUGUGUUUCCCUGGACGGUGGUGCUACGGUCGCGCUUCGCCGGUUCUCAGCCUGUCGUUUUGUCAGGUGAUGUAAAUGUUCCUGUUCAAACUAAGGACUGGUUUGAUAAUUUAUUUUCAUGGAUCGGUUGCUAUUAGUGUAUUCCUGAGUUUCGGAUUGCCUGAUCUUCCCUUAUCGCAAUAUAAGCCAAUAAGGUGAGUAAUCUGGGCUAAAAGAGUUGUCUUCGGAGUUCUCCAAAUUCUUUUUUUCCAUGGUUCAUGCAUUUAGUAAUUUCGAUUUUCCAAUCGGUCGUUUACAUGAUCCACAAACCACAGGCAAUUUUUACUUUCCUGGUGUACAUAUGCUGUUUUAUAUCUUAUUUAUUUUUUCAGAGCAUUUUGUUUGCUGCUGUGCAUCUUCUGUAUUAUAUCUUUUGAGUAUGUGCAUUGCUAACAUAUUUCUGAGCUUGGAGUCCAAAGUCAGACAAGGUUAGGCUUCAGGCAAAUGAAAAUUUGAUAAAUAAUCGUAGCCACUUUCCGUUCAGCAAGGGUUGCUAUCUAAAAGGGAUCUCAUUUUGAAAAAACAUACUUUGACCUUCUUCUGUCUAUGUUCAGCUACAAGAUCAGUUUGACAUGUCUCUGAAUUGUGAAAUGCCAUCAAUUCGUAGAGUUAUUGACAGAUGUUCUACCUGAUCUUUGUUGCAUUCAUGCAUUUCAGUUUCAAGAAUGCCCUAAGCGGAUUGGAAUUUGGAAUGUAGAUGGAUAACUCAACUAAAGAACGCAAGACCCUAUUCAGAUUUUUAUAAUAACUAACACAGUACACGUGCUCUGCUACACACUAAUAAAAAAUACUCUACAUAUUUAAGGAGAAUGUUGUUCUAUUAUUUAUUGUCUUAUAUCAAAUAAUUUUGUAUUUGCAAUGUUUUGUGCCAAAAUCAAUAGGUGGCAUGGUCUAUAGGUGACGGACUGCCUCCGCCAAUUGAGAUCUUUAUAGGAGUAAAGAAAUAAGCUCUCAUGGUCAACAUAUUCAGUUUGCUUUGGCAUGUUACUGCCUCUAGAUUUCCUCUGGCAUUUGCUUGAGCUAUCAUUUUAGGAGACGGUUUUCAGUCCUUGUGUUGUUAUCAUAGAACUACCAUAACAUGAGGCAUCUUGGCAUAUAUUUUGAUCAUAAGUAACAUUGCUUUGAGUUACUGAAAAACUGUAUUUAUUUCUAGCUAUGAAUAUAUCCUGGCCAUGUACCAAUUGUCAUUAAAAUGAAAUGCCAUAAUGCAAGUUGCAUGCUAUUUUGUUGUAUUUUUAGCAUUAUUAUGUCCUCUUUUAGAUCAUACAUGUUCUUUAUGUCUUUUAUGCUUCUUCCCAUUUACUGUGGGCAAAUCAGCAAUGCAAUGUUGUGCAUAUAUGAGAGAGCCCAAUGUGUUCAUUUCUGAUCAGGUGCAUCAGUUAAGGUAUUUUUUUUAUUGAGGGAACAACAUGAUUUAUUUUUCUCCUAGUUCUUAUUUAAAUCCACGCAUUUAUUUCUCUGUGGGAUAUGUAAUGUCUGAUAUGCUGAUUCCCUAUAUGUUUUGAUCCAGUCAACAUUUUUUCUGGAUUUCUCCAAGAAGUUCAGGAGUAUGCCUCUUCUCUUCCCACCUUAAAUGUUUCCGUUGUUAUUCUGAUUGGGCGAGUGAUAGAAUAGCUCUAAAGAUUUAGUUAUCAUGAUAGGUGUGGUUUUGGCUGCAUGACUUUCUCUAUUCUCCAUAGGCAGAAUUAACUUUCUUUAACUUUAGGUGCAACUCUAUCCUCCAUAAGUGUACUUAUAGUGAUAGGUAUUGUUCAAAAUGUGACCAAAUUAAGUGUUGGAAACUACUUGCACUACUAUCUUGAUGGGGAAGUAAAGCAGGAUACCGGGUUUUGUUUAAGUAAACAUGAAGUGCCCUUUUUAAUAUGAAUACUCGAGUAUCGUAAUCCUUUGAACUUUUUCAUAGUUUUUUUUGUACGACCACUUUUGCACUUUAUUUUACGGAAAAUUUUCAAUUGACUCAUAAAACUCAUAUAUUAAAUUAUUCAUAUAAAUUUCAAAUUGGCAUGAUAUUUUAAUCCUACAUUUUCUCUAUUCACACAUGAUACUCUUUGCAUCGGAAGUCUUUGCAUCCAACACUUCCGUCAGGAGAUUUUCCAAGGUGAUGACCGUCUCUCACCCUUCCUCAUUCGGGGUCAGAGUCUGAUCCUGCAGGUAAAUUUCUAAUUUAUCCACGCAAAAGAUCUCGGAUUGAAAGUGAGGCAUUCUUUCUUUAUGCUGAAUCAUGUUUCAUAACCAGGUUAGAAAAGUCAUCUACAUAUUGUCAACAGUUAUAAAUUAAGACGUGAAGAAAAUCAUAUUUGCUAACAGGACUCGACUAAACAAAAGUAUAUGCCAUGAAUUCAGUAACUUUUGCCCAUAUAAAACUAUACAAAAUAAAUCAAUCUGCUGCAAUGCCAUAAAUCAAGGCAAUGUUGCAUUACUUCUAAGUUCUAACCAUGCCAUUAACUUCUUUAUACAGGUAGAAUAUAGCAAGUCUUAACUUCUAUGGUUUGUUACUGCAAUUGUUUUGCACGGUUACUUCUGCAAGUACCAUAACCAAAGUUACUCAUUUGUUGGACUUCUAAGCUAGAAUUACUUUUUUUCCCGACAAAAUGCAAGAAGCUUUGUGUCUCGGUACAUUGAUAGAAAAGGGAGUUAUGUGUAAGCCCCAAAAGGGCAACACAUGCUGCUUCCAGUUCCACCAUGCUGUGAGUCUGUGAGCAUGAUAAGUGACAAGGUGCCCCUACGAGAGGCAUCAGAUCCACGAAAGCAUCUCUGAUGACAGGCGGUAUCAGAUCCAUGAGAGUAUAUAUGUUUUGUCAGUGCACACAAAUAAUGAAUGCUUCCUGCAGUUUUAGAAUUUCGAGGGUUUGUUCACAUAAGUGAACCACCAGUUUUUUUUAAUCCAAACCUUAGAGCUUAGAGUAGCAUCAUGGUUUAGUCAUCAUAGUGCCUUAAGCUCCACUGGAUUUUUUUUAAUACUCCUGUCAUCUAGGCAGAAUCUUCCACUAAAGUUGGAAAAUGAUCCAAUGCUGAGAUACAGUAUUAAAUUCAACCAUAUCAUUCAUUUUUCUUUCAUAGCAUUUGAAUAAUAUACUUCUUAUUCUGGUCUCAGAAAUUCCAAACUUCAGAAAUCUGCGUGUGCAUCAUUUGAAAUGGAGAAGAAUUUGGAAGGUGAUAGAUGAUGCACUUUACUAUCUGUCACCUUCUCAUGUUAAGCAUUUCAGCUGAGUUUAGCCAAACUACUAAGACUAAUUGGAGAAAACAACAUGUAUGCCCAUAAAAAACUGGUUUGGUAUCUCACCUUUAAUCUGGACAUGUAUCUAGAUAUGAUAUGCUAUGUCCUAAGCUAUCAAAAAAGGGUUUCUAAGAAUAAGAGACUGUGUAGACUCGCAAUCAUGACAGGCCUGGACAGAUUAAUUAUUAAAGUGACAGCCGUGGAUG